rnacentral:lncRNA from 1 species
ACAUUGACCUUCAUUGAAGAAGAUCUGCAGGACUUACUGAGAUUACACAAGAGGAAGUGAUGAGGCAUUUUUCUGAAUGUUGAAACUAGUCUCUUUGUCCAUGAAUACCGGCACUGACUGAAAGAAUGCUUUGAAGAAAUUCCUCAAAGGUAAAAGAAACAAAAACAUGAUGGAAGCCAAGAAGACAAAUAUGAACAAAGGCAGCAAAUGUAUAAACAGCUACAGUGUUUCUGGACACAUUUGAAACAAGUGGCUGAAGUCAUGGCAUGGAUUAGGAGUGUUAGUUCCAAGCACAAUGAUAAGA